UACGUAGGGGGCUAGCGUUGUCCGGAAUCAUUGGGCGUAAAGCGCGCGUAGGCGGCCCAGUAAGUCCGUUGUAAAAGUCAAAGGCUCAACCUUUGAAAGCCGAUGGAUACUGCUGGGCUAGAGUCCGGAAGAGGCGAGUGGAAUUCCUGGUGUAGCGGUGGAAUGCGCAGAUAUCAGGAGGAACACCGAUGGCGAAGGCAGGUCUCUGGGCCAUAACUGACGCUGAGAAGCGAAAGCAUGGGGAGCGAACAGG
rnacentral:rRNA from 1 species